AACGAACGCUGGCGGCAUGCCUAACACAUGCAAGUCGAACGAGACCUUCGGGUCUAGUGGCGCACGGGUGCUUAACGCGUGGUAACCUGCCCUUAGGUUCGGAAUAACUCCCCGAAAGGGGUGCUAAUACCGGAUAAUGUCUUCGGACCAAAGAUUUAUCGCCUUUGGAUGGGGCCGCGUUGGAUUAGCUAGUUGGUAGGGUAAAAGCCUACCAAGGCGACGAUCCAUAGCUGGUCUGAGAGGAUGAUCAGCCACACUGGGACUGAGACACGGCCCAGACUCCUACGGGAGGCAGCAGUGGGGAAUAUUGGACAAUGGGCGAAAGCCUGAUCCAGCAAUGUCGCGUGAGUGAUGAAGGCCUUAGGGUUGUAAAGCUCUUUUACACGGGAUGAUAAUGACAGUACCGGGAGAAUAAGCUCCGGCUAACUCCGUG
rnacentral:rRNA from 1 species